rnacentral:rRNA from 1 species
GACGAACGCUGGCGGCGUGCUUAACACAUGCGAGUCGAACGGAAAGGGCCUGCAUGUGGGGGAUGCGCGAGGGGCGAGCGGGUGAGUAACACGAGAGUGACCUGCCGUGGACGGUGGGAUAACUUCAGGAAACUGGGGCUAAUACCGGAUAGGAGCUCCUGCGGCAGGGUGGGGGUGGGAAAGUGUCGGCGGUUGGGGAUGGACUCGCGGCUUAUCAGCGUGGGGGUGGGGUAGUGGCUGACCAAGGCUUUGACGGGUAGCCGGCCUGAGAGGUGGACCGGCCACCAUGGGACUGCGAUACGGCCCAGACUCCUACGGGAGGCAGCAGUGGGGAAUCUUGCACAAUGGGCGGAAGCCUGAUGCAGCAACGCCGCGUGCGUGAUGACGGCCUUCGGGUUGUAAACCGCUUUCGCCUGUGACGAAGCGUGAGUGACGGUAAUGUGUAAAGAAGCACCGGCUAACUACGUG